rnacentral:rRNA from 1 species
UACGGAGGGUGCAAGCGUUAUCCGGAUUCACUGGGUUUAAAGGGUGCGUAGGCGGCGUGUCAAGUCAAUUGUGAAAUCUCCGGGCUUAACUCGGAACGGUCAAUUGAUACUGAUGUGCUAGAGUGCAGAAGGGGCAAUCGGAAUUCUUGGUGUAGCGGUGAAAUGCGUAGAUAUCAAGAGGAACACCUGAGGUGAAGACGGGUUGCUGGGCUGACACUGACGCUGAGGCGCGAAAGCUAGGGUAGCAAACGGG